GAUGAAGAACGUAGCGAAAUGCGAUAAGUAGUGUGAAUUGCAGAAUUCAGUGAAUCAUCGAAUCUUUGAACGCACAUUGCGCCCCUUGGUAUUCCAUGGGGCAUGCCUGUUCGAGCGUCAUUUGUACCUUCAAGCUUUGCUUGGUGUUGGGUGUUUGUCCCGAGGGACUCGCCUUAAAGUAAUUGGCAGCCAGUGUUUGGUUUUGAAGCGCAGCACAAGUCGCGAUUCAAGGCUACACGCCCGCUUCCACAAGCCUUUUUUCACUUUUGACCUCGGAUCAGGUAGGGAUACCCGCUGAACUUAAGCAUAUCAAUAAGCGGAGA
rnacentral:misc_RNA from 1 species